rnacentral:rRNA from 1 species
UUAGUAACGGCGAGUGAAGCGGCAACAGCUCAAAUUUGAAAUCUGGCUCCCUUGGGGGCCCGAGUUGUAAUUUGUAGAGGAUGCUUCGGCGUGGGCCCCGGUCUAAGUUCCUUGGAACAGGACGUCACAGAGGGUGAGAAUCCCGUACGUGGCCGUGGGUGCUCGCCAUGUGAAGCUCCUUCGACGAGUCGAGUUGUUUGGGAAUGCAGCUCUAAAUGGGAGGUAAAUUUCUUCUAAAGCUAAAUACUGGCCAGAGACCGAUAGCGCACAAGUAGAGUGAUCGAAAGAUGAAAAGCACUUUGGAAAGAGAGUCAAAAAGUACGUGAAAUUGUUGAAAGGGAAGCGCUUGCAACCAGACCUGCCUGCGGUUGCUCAUCCGGGCUCUUGCCCGGUGCACUCUUCCGCAGUCAGGCCAGCAUCAGCUCUGGCGGUCGGAUAAAGGCGGCGGGAAUGUGGCUCCCCUCGGGGAGUGUUAUAGCCCGCCGUGCAAUGCGGCCAGCCGGGACUGAGGUCCGCGCUUCGGCUAGGAUGCUGGCGUAAUGGUUGUAAGCGGCCCGUCUUGAAACACGGACCAAGGAGUCUAACAUCUGUGCGAGUGUUUGGGUGUCAAGCCCAGGCGCGUAAUGAAAGUGAACGGAGGCGGGAACCUUCGGGUGCACCGUCGACCGAUCCUGAUGUCUUCGGAUGGAUUUGAGUAAGAGCAUAGCUGUUGGGACCCGAAAGAUGGUGAACUAUGCCUGAAUAGGGUGAAGCCAGAGGAAACUCUGGUGGAGGCUCGCAGCGGUUCUGACGUGCAAAUCGAUCGUCAAAUUUGGGCAUAGGGGCGAAAGACUAAUCGAA